ACUACGUGAGGCAGCAGUGGGGAAUAUUGGGCAAUGGGCGCAAGCCUGACCCAGCAACGCCGCGUGAAGGAAGAAGGCUUUCGGGUUGUAAACUUCUAUUAUUGAGGAUGAAACAAAUGACGGUACUCAAUGAAUAAGCCACGGCUAACCACGUGCCAGCCGCCGGGGUAAUACGUAGGUGGCAAGCGUUAUCCGGAUUUACUGGGUGUAAAGGGCGUGUAGGCGGAACUGCAAGUCAGAUGUGAAACCGAAGGGCUCAACCCAGGGCCUGCAUUUGGAACUGUUGUUCUUGAGUGAUGGAGAGGCAAGCGGAAUUCCGAGUGUAGCGGUGAAAUGCGUAGAUAUACGGAGGAACACCAGUGGCGAAGGCGGCCUGCUGGACAUUAACUGACGCUGAGGCGCGAAAGCGUGGGGAGCAAACAGGAUUAGAUACCCGAGUAGUC
rnacentral:rRNA from 1 species